AUAAAAUAUGGCAAUGGUGCCUAUUAAUCUCCUUGAAGUUUCCACAGGGAUAGGCACAGCCAGAAGCCUUCAUUUCUAUGGAAACUAUGAAAGGCAGUUUGGACAAAGACUGGCUACAUUCUGAGAAGACUGAGUUCCAAAGCUGGUCAGUUGAAAGGCACGUUUAGAGCUCAGGAGAUGAAGUCUUGGGUUACCCAGCCCUGGCAAAAGUAUCUUGCAGCCUAGGGGGCUGGGAGGAUGCCUGGAUGUCCCACCUGUUUAGGCCACAGGGAUUCCAAAGAAAUCCAGCAAGGCUUGUGCAGGUGGCAAAAGGCAAAAACACAGAUAUAGCUAGUGUCGAAAGUAUCCUUGCCCUUACUUCCUGGAAGAAAACUCUGGGACUACAGGAGCCAGCUGACUUCCAUGCCCCACAGUGCCUCAUGCUUGCAAAAAGGCUGCUGUGGAUCCAGAUACCAUAUUUAUAUAAAAGCCCAUUUUGUACUCCUUUUUUCUGCACUGGAGAAGCAGCUACUGGAAGCAGGGUUAGAACAAGCUUGACCACAGGAUUGCAAAGAAUCACUGAAGUGGUGUUUGCAUUAGUCCCAAGUGCUGGCCACCUCAUCUCAACUCUCCCUAGAGGAAGAGACCCUGUAAGUCCCAAGGACACAUCCGGAAGAGUAUUGUGGAGAGUGAGCCAGGUGGGUUCCUGCUGUUCCUUCCUGGAGAAGGGAAGCAAAGGGGCAGAUCUAUGAAGCACAGAAGAUUUGGGACAGAAUCACAGAGCCCAGAAAGCACAGCCACAAGCUGAGAAUCCUCUCUUUGGUGGGUAUGGGAGGAAGGAGAUGCAGAAAUACCCAUAUUCCUAAUUUGAAAAAGACUAAAAUAAGCAGACCUAUGUGUCUGGGUGAAGUAUGAUAAACUGAGUGUCAAAGACUGUGAAAAGGAACAUGACUUGGUUCAUUUCAUUAUCAAUAAUUCACUUAUACAGUCAUUCACCUCUCAUCCAUUCAUUUAUUCAUUCAUUCCACAAUUGUGAUUGUGUACCUGCUACAACCCUAGAAAGAAGGCAAGGAGGAUACCUGGGUGGCUCAGUGAUUGAGUGUCUUCCUUUGUCUCAGGUCGUGAUCCUGGGGUCCUGGGAUCGAGUCCCACAUCAGGCUCCCUCCGGGGAGCCUGCUUCUCCCUCUGCCUACGUCUCUGCCUCUCUCUCUGUGGUCCCUCAUGAAUGAAUAAAUAAAAUAUUUUUUUAAAAGGCA
rnacentral:lncRNA from 12 species